rnacentral:misc_RNA from 1 species
ACUGCAGGACUAUUAUUUACCUAAGAUAUUUUAUAUAUUAAUGCACCUGCUUCCCAAGGCCUGAAAGCUGAGCAUCUGUAUAUUCUCAUCGGGGUCUCAGUGGUCUUCCUCUUCUGUCUCCUCCUCCUGGUCCUCUUCUGCCUCCAUCGCCAGAAUCAGAUAAAGCAGGGGCCCCCCAGAAGCAAGGACGAGGAGCAGAAGCCACAGCAGAGGCCUGACCUGGCUGUUGAUGUUCUAGAGAGGACAGCAGACAAGGCCACAGUCAAUGGACUUCCUGAGAAGGACAGAGAGACGGACACCUCGGCCCUGGCUGCAGGGAGUUCCCAGGAGGUGACGUAUGCUCAGCUGGACCACUGGGCCCUCACACAGAGGACAGCCCGGGCUGUGUCCCCACAGUCCACAAAGCCCAUGGCCGAGUCCAUCACGUAUGCAGCCGUUGCCAGACACUGACCCCAUACCCACCUGGCCUCUGCACCUGAGGGUAGAAAGUCACUCUAGGAAAAGCCUGAAGCAGCCAUUUGGAAGGCUUCCUGUUGGAUUCCUCUUCAUCUA